AGCCUAGAAGAGAUGGCUUCUAAAGUUUCUUCCAGCUCUAAAAUUUUACGAUUCUAAAAAUCUAAGUCCUUAAUGACAUAUUCUACUUACUGCUAAUUAACCGAUUCAGAAAAUCCUAUUAAAUAAAAAUAGUAAGCCAAGCAGUUUUCAUUUUAUGUUUCUACAUUUUCAAUAUUUUAUACUGCUGAGUUAUAGCCUUAUAAAGUUGAGUCAUGGCAUAAAAUCACAGGCCUGCAUGCAAGAAAAAUAUCUAAGUCACCCUGCUACUAUUUAAAAACCUUCCAGUCAAACUAUAAUAUUACAUUUAUCUUCACAAAUGGCUCAAAAUAUAUUCCCACAUAGUACCUCAUUUAUUCUUUUUUUUAACAGCUUUAUGGAGAUGUAACUCACCUAGCAUACAAUCCACCCUUUUCAAGGGCACAAUUCAUUGAUUUUAGUAUAUUCAGAGCUGUGCAACCAUCACCACAAGUGCUUUUAAACCAUUUUCAUCAUCCUGAAAAGAAACUCCCUACCCACUGGCACUCACUCCCCAUCUCCCUGGCCCCAAGCCUCCCAGCCCACCAUUCUACUUUCUGUCCCUAUAGACUGGCCUACUCAGGACAUUUCAUAUAAAUGAACCCAUACAAUAUAUAGUAAUGUUUUGAGAUCCAUCCAUGUUGCAAUAGCAUAUGCCAGCACUACAUUCCUUUUUUCUUGCUGAAUAAUAUUCCACCAUAUGAAUAUACCACAUUUGUUUAUCCAUUCUUCAGGUGAUGGCCAUCUGGAUUGCAUUAAGAAUAAGGCGCUAUGAACAUUCAUGCACAUGUUUGUGUGAAUCUAUGUUUUCAUUUCUUUUGAGUAUAUAGCUAGAGAUGGAACUGCUGGGUAACCUAUGUAACUCAAUGUUUUAACCUUUUAAACAACCAUUAGGCUGGUUCUUUAAAAGUAAUGUAUGAGGGUUCCAAUUUCUCCACAUCCUUACCAACACUUGUCAUUACCUAUCUUGGCUUAUGGCCAGGUGGUGGCUCUUUCAAAGUUUUGAUCUGUAUCUUCCUAUGACUAACGAUGUUGAGCAUCAUUUCAUGUGCUUAUUAGCCAGUUAUAAGUCUUCUUUGGAUAAAUGUCUACUCGGAUCCCUUGCCCAUUUUUUAACUGGGUUAUGUGUCCCUGUUAUUACUGAGUUGUAAGAGUUCUGCAUAAAUUUUGAGUACACGUACAUUAUCACAUACAUAAUUUUCAUGUAUUUUCUCCCACUCUGUAUCUCAUCUCAUCUUAGUGCAGCUACUUGCACUAAAUAAACAUAUGCUGUGUUGCUAUCCCCAUUUUACAGAUAGAACUGGCAUGUUCUCUGAUUAAACAGACUUGACAACUGGCAGAGUCAAGAGUAAGUGCUCCUGUUUUUAUUAAUUUAAGAGGCCAUAUAUUGAUAUCAACAUUGGGACAGAUCGUCCAGGAAGUCUCCCUCUGUUCACUGAUUUUGGUAUAUUCAGAGACAAUAUUAUUUCCAAGUUCCAGCAAAGAUGGUUUAUGCAUUCACUUGAAAAAUAGUUUUGACGUGUUACGUAACAGGUACCAUGCUUGACUCCCAGCUUAGGAUGCAUGUGUGCACAACCAAAUCCUUGUCCUCAUUAGUCUUAUAAUUUGGAGGUAUUAUGCAAAAUCCUUAGCCCUAAGUCAAAUUCUUGAUAGCAAACUGCCCAAAGAAAGACAUGUUUCAUCUUAAUGCUUAAAGAUCCACCCUCAACUCAGAAGAAACAUUACAGAUUUUAAUGAAAGUAAUAUUCUGUUUUUUAAAAAGAUCCAAAGUGCCAAAUUAAUUUGUGACCUGCGCUCCCGUCAUUGACCUUGCUGUGAGUAUUGACCUUAGUAAGCCCUCAUUUGCUUCUUAUCAACCCUUUUUAUAAUCAGCAAUGCUCACUUUAAUGACACUUGUCAAAGUAAAACUUGACUAGAGGAGGAAAUUCUCCUAUUUUUACCUUUAAUCAGAAAAAUCUGAAAGUUCGAAGUCUCUAUUCUGGCCAGUUCCUACUCUGUGCUAAAUAAAAAUGUCAUAAUAGUUCCAUUAAACAUAAAGACAGAACAUUGUAUAUCAACUAUGAUAGAAAAAAUAAAAAUCUUAAGCAAAACCCACAAAGCCAAAAACAGAGACCUACAAAUCCACCAACUUAAAAAGGGAGUUCUAACCUGGUCUAUCAAAGCAUUUGUAAUGUAGAGCACAGGACCCGAUAAUGCCCAGAAGUCAGAAGGCCCAGCCCUGAGUGGCCCAGGAAAACUCUAAAUGAUGUUUUCUCUCUUCAUGAGUUCUCACUAAUGCUACAUUUGAAAUUAAACAUAUCCAUGUUCUUUUGUUAUUAAAAAAAAAAAAACACUGAAUAUUCUUAACUAGGAUUGAUAAAAGAACUUGUUGAGAAGGAAAGGCAGAACUCAUGGCUUAUUAUUAGAAAUACAUCCAUCUUUACUGUGCAAAUUUAGUAAAUGAAGUAACAGCCAGCAAGGAAAACUAAACUGGGGGAGAGACACCAUGCCUGUCUCCAGUUCCCAGUACCCUCAACACGCCACCUUCUAACUGAAGGUCCCCAGGCUCCCUUCGGCUAGAGGUGCCUAAGAAUUAUGAAGCCCAGCUGAACCAGGAGGGUGUGAUCCGAGGUGAUCCAGAAGAUGGCCUGGCCCGCUCCCUACAAGAGGCAGCAUCAUAGUUCAAGACAGGGCUUUUCCACACCGUGAGCAGGGAGGCUAGGCAUUUUCUGGAGGCAUCUCAGGGUUGCUUUGGGGGGUCAGAGAAGCGCCGUACACAGGCAGAGCACUAGGCCUCCAAGGAUGUUUUCUGAAGACCGAAAUCAGAUGGCGACACAAAGAUCUGAAAAGCUAAUUCUAGAGGAAGUCUAGGCCAGGCAGACAACAAUGUGCAGCCGAUCUGGACGACCAGGUGAGGACAAAAGGGGAGAAUGAAUAAUGAAGCUGGUGGGGACCAGAGUCAAAAACAGGAAGGGUGCGGUCUUGGCCAAGGGUCAGGGUCAGGGUCAGGCCUUUAUCCACUGACAGGAAUGCCUAUUGUGGAGUGGGUGCGUCUGCUUAAAGGAGCAGCCUCGGGAUCCUUCCCCUAGAGGCACCGGGCUGCUGUGAUCUCCAACUCCAAAAGGCUGCUUGUGGACCAGUCUCUCAUCCUUCUGGCUCCCCAGAUUCCUUGCCUCCCACUGCCAAUCACUUCCCACAAAGCACUGAAGGUGAACAGCAGAAAGUAGAUAGUCAUUCCUGUGAUGGAUGGGGGUCUUUCCCAGGAUGCCUGAAUAAAAUCCUAAAUCCUUACUGCAGUCUGGACGGACCAGGCCCCUGCUAAGUCACCUCUCUCCUCCUCAUGCCUGCUCCCUUUCCCUGCCCAGGGCUCUGACCCUGCUGGCUCCUGACCCACAGGCACCGCUGGGCUCUGGCUAUGCUCAAGUCUGCUCAGAGGCCCUUUCUUCCUCUUCACACCAUCACUCUCUAGCCUCUGAUGCUUCUUCAUUCUUCAGCAUUUUCUUCUCAUCUGAAAUUAUGUAUCUAUGUUUGCUGUCUACCUCCCCACUGGAAGUGAGCUCUACUAGGGUAUGGACUUUGUUUUGAUUACUGCUCUGAUCCAGGUACCACCAGGGAACAGUGUCUGGAAGAUAAAUGUUCCACAAGUUGAGUAAGUGAAUGAGUAAGUCUGACUCGAUCUUAAACAUGUUGAGGCCUCCGGGUUUCCCUGGCCCCCUCUCUGUUUUUGUUCCUGAUCCAUUAACCAUUCCUAAGUUUUACUUCUUGUCUACUGUGACUAAGGAUCUGAUCACCCAGCCUUACCCACUCCUUUGCCUAACCUCUCAACUGUCUUGCAGGCCUGUCCUUCCCUAAACCAACCUAAGGCUCUACCUCUUUACUCUCACAUCCCAACCACCCAAAGGUCUCUCCUCUAAAAAGCCCCAACCGUGUGGACUGAGGACUCUGCAAACACACAGUCUCCCAUCAGUGGCCACCAGUCUUUUUUAGGGCCUCCCAUCGAGGUCCCCGGCUCACAUCCCGCAGAAACAAUUCCAAGCUUCCAUGACUUUCUUCAAGCUUUCUAUUCUCCCCUCCGCUCAGCAAAUGACAUCACCUCCACAGAAACAAAAGAGAGGUUAUUAGGUCAGACACCCUGGGUUUCCUCCUUCUCAGUGAUCAACAACCGCCCGCCUGCUCUUACCUCCUUCCUGGCAGCAUGGAGGACGGAUGUCCCUCUUCCUGCCCAAAGCUAACCUUCCACCAGAGCUCUGGAGCCCAAGGCAUCCAGCCCACCUCCUUAGGGAGCGCUCCCGUCAUUUACCCAACCCCUCCCCAUCUUCAACCUCCCCUUCUCAUUGGGCUUUCGGCCCACUGCACCCCAAUCCUCACAACUCUCCCAUUUCAAAAUAAAUGAAUAUGCCGAACUAAUAAACUCCCCAGACAUUGUGUCUCUGUCUUAUCAAUGUCCCAUGAGAGCCUCCUUCUCCCUGUUCUCAUGUGGCAGAGAAAGACUUCCUGUGAGGGCACCCGUUCCAUGGGAUCAAGAUUCACCCUCACGACCUCCUUUAACCAUAGUCACCUCCUAUAGUCAUGGAGGCAGGGGAUGGGAUGGGGUGGAGAUGAAAGUUAAGGUUUCAAAAGAAAUGGGGGGGGCACAGUUCAAUCCACAGUAGUCAACAAUAAUUACAUUUUAAUUAAAGUAUAGUAAAAUGAAUGUUCUGUAACCGUAACUGUGCAAGUUCGAGAACGCUAAAGCAAUAAAGGUAUCACAUGAUAUCACAAAUAUCACAUGAAAAUAUGAGGAUACAACCUUUUCUAUAAAUACGUAAAACAUGCAUGUGAAAUAAAAAGGAGUCUAUCAUAAUCAUCAUAGGAGUGACGUUCAAGUAAAAAAGCUUAUUUCCAAACUCUCUGCUAAACAAUCUGAAAAAUAAACUUUCGCUGAAAGAAUAUAUAAACAAAAAGCUUUGGCUAAAAAAAA
rnacentral:lncRNA from 1 species